rnacentral:tRNA from 2 species
GGAGGAUUCGCCUAGUGGCCUAGGGCGCACGCUUGGAAAGCGUGUUGGGGGAAACCCCUCACGAGUUCGAAUCUCGUAUCCUCCGC